AUUAUUGUGAACAAAUAAAAAGGUAAUUUCAUAGUGAAGAGGAAAAAUAACAUCUACUGAAGAAAACAUUAUCUUCUCUGUUUUCCUUCGUCUGUCUUGACUUGGCUUUUUUUUCACCAACCAUCAACAACAUCCAGCAGGCUGUUUUGCUGGUGUUUACUGUCCGGAUCGAAAUUAAUUUACACUAGAUUUAUAUACUGGACCUUGACCUAGACUACAACUAAAUUAAUAAUUUGGUUAUUUGUGCCCUUUUCUGACUGACUGGUGAAUCUCAUCUUUUAGGAUCAAUUUUCUUGGUUUUACCAUUGGUUUUGCUUUGUGGUGUUAAACCUUUCAUGAUUCUGAAUGGACACCAAAUGAUCGUGAACAAUUUGUGCAGAGAAAUGUUAUUGAACGUCUAAAAGAACCCAAAAUAAAGCUAAACCUAAUGGGAUUCCUAUUUGAUUUGAUUUUCACGGGUUAAACAGGUUCAAGAUUUGGACGAUUUACUAAAUCAAUAAAUCAAUUGAUUGCUGGUUUCUUCAAUGAGCUGUAAAAUUAUCAACUCUAAAACUAAGCAACAAUUUAUUUUCCAUUCUGACAGACCGAACACUAUAAAACCAAUAGAUGGCUCAAUCAACAAAUCCGUCUAUGCAUUAACAUUUAAUAAUCAUUUAUAUCAUAUUUAAUUUGAAUGCUUAAUGAUAGUUUAUUAUAACAUCUGUCAUACAUAUUGAAA